AGCAGUAGCCACGGGAAUACGUAGGUGGCAAGCGUUGUCCGGAAUUAUUGGGCGUAAAGGGCUCGCAGGCGGUUUCUUAAGUCUGAUGUGAAAGCCCCCGGCUCAGCCGGGGAGGGUCAUUGGAAACUGGGGAACUUGAGUGCAGAAGAGGGGAGUGGAAUUCCACGUGUAGCGGUGAAAUGCGUAGAGAUGUGGAGGAACACCAGUGGCGAAGGCGACUCUCUGGUCUGUAACUGACGCUGAGGAGCGAAAGCGUGGGGAGCGAACAGGAUUAGAUACCCCGGUAGUCCCUGUCUCUUAUAC
rnacentral:rRNA from 1 species